UACGUAGGGUGCAAGCGUUGUCCGGAAUUAUUGGGCGUAAAGAGCUCGUAGGCGGUUUGUCGCGUCUGCUGUGAAAUCCCGGGGCUUAACCCCGGGCCUGCAGUGGAUACGGGGCAGGCUGGAGGCAGGCAGGGGAGAACGGAAUUCCCGGUGUAGCGGUGAAAUGCGCAGAUAUCGGGAGGAACACCGGUGGCGAAGGCGGUUCUCUGGGCCUGUACUGACGCUGAGGAGCGAAAGCGUGGGGAGCGAACAGGG
rnacentral:rRNA from 1 species